rnacentral:rRNA from 1 species
GCAAGUCGAACGAAGCACUUGAAUGGAAUCUUCGGAAGGAAGCUCAAGUGACUGAGUGGCGGACGGGUGAGUAACGCGUGGGUAACCUGCCUCAUACAGGGGGAUAACAGUUAGAAAUGACUGCUAAUACCGCAUAAGCACACGUGAUCGCAUGAUCGAGUGUGAAAAACUCCGGUGGUAUGAGAUGGACCCGCGUCUGAUUAGCUAGUUGGUGGGGUAACGGCCCACCAAGGCGACGAUCAGUAGCCGGCCUGAGAGGGUGAACGGCCACAUUGGGACUGAGACACGGCCCAAACUCCUACGGGAGGCAGCAGUGGGGAAUAUUGCACAAUGGGGGAAACCCUGAUGCAGCGACGCCGCGUGAAGGAUGAAGUAUUUCGGUAUGUAAACUUCUAUCAGCAGGGAAGAAAAUGACGGUACCUGACUAAGAAGCCCCGGCUAACUACGUGCCAGUAGCCGCGGUAAUACGUAGGGGGCAAGCGUUAUCCGGAUUUACUGGGUGUAAAGGGAGCGUAGACGGCAGUGCAAGUCUGAAGUGAAAGCCCGGGGCUCAACCCUGGGACUGCUUUGGAAACUGUGCAGCUA